GACAGAAGCGGCAACUACCAAAUGUCAUCGCUGGCCCCCGUGGGCGAACUGGUCUAAUUUGUACCUUCAUGGAUGAUCUUGAACGUGGUUUCAAGCAACAGAGUAGGGAACCCACCACUGCUCCAAUACAAGUCCUUUCCAAAGACCAGAUAAGCAUCACAGGAAGAAAGUGGUUGCAUCACGUAAGCCUGUGAGGUAACUGCAUGUAUAUAGACAACCAAAUUGUGGAAUACUGCAGUUAAGGUGCAAGAGGCAAGUCUCUUUUUCAGAACUGAAACUGUGUGAUGGUAAACCACUCAAAGGGACAAAUUCACAGCUAGGACUGAAGUCUUGAUACUGUGGUAGUGCUGUGCCACCUCUGAGUUGUGACAAAACUGGCAGAUAGCUCUGCAGUGCCUCCCAACCUGACAAUGAAAAAAGACCUUCAGGGAGCAGUUCCAAGGUACACAGGUGAAAUUCCAUCUCCAUCCCAAGUUCUGGGAAUAUCUUCCCCUUCUCACAGCAGGAAAGGGUCUUUCACAGACAAUAGGAACAGUGCCAAUGAUAGACUGUGAUUUAUUUAUACCAGUAAAAAAAGAUUAUGACAGCAACAUCAAAAUA